rnacentral:rRNA from 1 species
GACGAACGCUGGCGGCGUGCCUAAUACAUGCAAGUAGAACGCUGAAGAGAGGAGCUUGCUCUUCUUGGAUGAGUUGCGAACGGGUGAGUAACGCGUAGGUAACCUGCCUUGUAGCGGGGGAUAACUAUUGGAAACGAUAGCUAAUACCGCAUAACAAUGGAUGACACAUGUCAUUUAUUUGAAAGGGGCAAUUGCUCCACUACAAGAUGGACCUGCGUUGUAUUAGCUAGUAGGUGAGGUAAUGGCUCACCUAGGCGACGAUACAUAGCCGACCUGAGAGGGUGAUCGGCCACACUGGGACUGAGACACGGCCCAGACUCCUACGGGAGGCAGCAGUAGGGAAUCUUUGGCAAUGGGGGCAACCCUGACCGAGCAACGCCGCGUGAGUGAAGAAGGGUUUCGGAUCGUAAAGCUCUGUUGUAAGUCAAGAACGGGUGUGAGAGUGGAAAGUUCACACUGUGACGGUAGCUUACCAGAAAGGGACGGCUAACUACGUG